UAGGGAAUCUUCCGCAAUGGGCGAAAGCCUGACGGAGCAACGCCGCGUGAGUGAUGAAGGUCUUCGGAUCGUAAAACUCUGUUAUUAGGGAAGAACAAAUGUGUAAGUAACUAUGCACGUCUUGACGGUACCUAAUCAGAAAGCCACGGCUAACUACGUGCCAGCAGCCGCGGUAAUACGUAGGUGGCAAGUGUUAUCCGGAAUUAUUGGGCGUAAAGCGCGCGUAGGCGGUUUUUUAAGUCUGAUGUGAAAGCCCACGGCUCAACCGUGGAGGGUCAUUGGAAACUGGAAAACUUGAGUGCAGAAGAGGAAAGUGGAAUUCCAUGUGUAGCGAUGAAAUGCGCAGAGAUAUGGAGGAACACCAGUGGCGAAGGCGACUUUCUGGUCUGUAACUGACGCUGAUGUGCGAAAGCGUGGGGAUCAAACAGG
rnacentral:rRNA from 1 species